GUGGUUCAUAUUUCAGGGGUCCCGGAAGAGUUGUUUGAGGUUUCUAUUUGGCCAAGUCAGGCCCUGGUGGAGUUUGGACAGUCCCUAGUGGUCAACUGCAGCACUACUUGCCCAGACCCAGGACCCAGUGGAAUUGAGACCUUCUUAAAGAAAACUCAGGUGGGCAAAGGGCCUCAGUGGAAAGAGUUUCUUCUGGAGGAUGUCACAGAGAAUUCCAUCCUGCAGUGCUUCUUCUCUUGUGCAGGGAUUCAAAAGGACACAAGCCUUGGCAUCACUGUGUAUCAGCCACCAGAGCAAGUGAUCCUGGAGCUGCAGCCUGCCUGGGUGGCCGUGGACGAAGCCUUCACAGUGAAGUGUCAUGUACCCAGUGUAGCACCCUUGGAGAGUCUCACCCUUGCCCUUCUCCAGGGUAACCAAGAACUGCAUAGAAAGAACUUUACGAGGUUGGUUGUGGCCUCCCAAAGAGCUGAGGUCAUCAUCAGUGUCAGAGCCCAAAAGGAGAAUGACAGAUGCAAUUCUUCCUGCCAUGCAGAACUGGACUUGAGUUUGCAAGGUGGGAGGCUCUUUCAAGGCAGCUCACCCAUCAGAAUAGUCCGGAUCUUUGAAUUCUCUCAGAGUCCCCACAUCUGGGUCUCUUCCCUUUUGGAGGCUGGGAUGGCGGAGACUGUGAGCUGCGAGGUGGCUAGGUUGUUUCCAGCCAAAGAAGUUAUGUUCCACAUGUUCCUGGAAGACCAAGAGCUGAGCUCCUUCCUUUCCUGGGAGGGGGACACAGCAUGGGCCAAUGCUACCAUUCGGACCAUGGAGGCUGGUGAUCAGGAACUGUCUUGCUUUGCAUCUCUGGGUCCAAUGGAACAGAAGACAAGAAAGCUAGUGCAUAGCUACAGUAAGUGACCUGGCUCUUCCUUUUUCAUACGGGUUCUCUGCUGCUGAAAACACAGAGUAACGGGUUGGUGAUUCGGCUGUAGACAUCCCUGCUGCCCUUUGCUGGGUAUGCCCUCAAGUGAACAUGAGUCUUCAUCUUUCUCUGGCUUCCCUCCACCAAUCCUGGAGCUAAAAGAAUCAUACCCAUUGGCAGGGACCGACAUUAAUGUGACCUGCUCAGGGCAUGUAUUAACAUCACCCAGCCCUACUCUUCGGCUUCAGGGAGCCCCAGACCUCCCUGCCCCUGGGGAGCCUGCCUGGCUUCUACUUACUGCCAGGGAGGAAGAUGAUGGCUGAAAUUUCUCCUGCGAGGCCUCUUUGGUGGUGCAGGGUCAGCGGUUGAUGAAAACCACUGUGAUCCAGCUCCAUAUCCUAUACAAGCUACGGUUAGAGGAAUCCAGUUGCCCUGGCAAACAGACCUGGCUGGAAGGGAUGGAACACACGCUCGCCUGCGUCCCAAAGGGAAACCCAGCUCCAGCCUUGGUGUGUACCUGGAAUGGGGUGGUCUUUGACCUUGAAGUGCCACAGAAGGCAACCCAGAACCACACUGGAACCUACUGCUGCACAGCCACUAACCAGCUGGGCUCUGUCAGCAAAGACAUUGCUGUCAUUGUUCAAG
rnacentral:sRNA from 1 species